CAGGAACUAAGAGUUACACCCUUUGCUUUUCUGAUCCUGAAGCUCUCAGACUUAGAAUGAGCCACGCUACUGUCAUCCUAUGGUCUACAGUCUAGAGAUGACCUCUUGCAGAACAUGUCUGCUUCCAGAAUAAGAAAGCAAUAUCAUCUUUAAGAGCACAGUUUGCUUUGGGCCGUCUGCAGUUUGCACAACAUUACAUAAGACAGAGGGCAGCCUGUACAUCAGCCAAGAAGGUCCUCACAUGAAUACCGCCAUCAUCCCACAAGCUUUUGGACAAGCCAGUCCCUGUAUCUCAGGUACUCAUGAGGAAAAAGUGAAGAAACAAGGAGAAAUGAUGUUUAUUAUAAAGUUACUAUGCUAUCAGCACUCUGCAGCAGCUUUGCUAUACACAUCAUUCCAUUUCAUGCACACAAACUUCAGGUAAAAAUCACUUACUAUCUUCACUUUACAGAUGAUGGAAUGAAAUUUCAGAGAUAUUAAAUAAUAUGCCCAAGAUCACAAAGUUCCUAAGUGGUGAAUUUGGGAUUGGAAUUUAGGGAUAUCUCAUCUCAAACCUAUGCCCAUUGACUAGUCUUGAAUAGGAAUUGUAAAUGAGAUAUUACAGCAAGUUAGCACGUCUAGAUUCCAACUCUGUUCCGCAUUUGUACAAAAUACAGUCACACUUGCAUAAGUGGUUCAGUGGUAGAAUUCUCAAAACUAAGAGUCACAAAUAAAAGCAGCUCAUGUUCAUCUAAGUGCUUAACGAAGAACUAUCAAAUGACCCAGUAAUCCCAGUCCUAGAAACAUACAUGCUCAAGAGAAAAGUAAAUAUUUGUCCACACAAAAUCUGAUAAAUUAAGUGUUCAAAACCACAUUAUCUAUAACAGCCAAAAAAAGAGGAAACAACCCAGAUGUCUAUCAACCAAUCAAUAGAUAAAUAAAAUCUGGUAUACCCACCUAUACAAUGGAAUAUUAUUUGGCAAAGAAAAGGCACUGAAGGAAUGACGGGUGGCCAAUGACAGAAGUCAGUGACAAAAGAUUACAUAUUAUAUAAUGCCACAGAUUUGAGUAGAUUCAAAGCUACCUACCAUUGUUGGGAAUGGGAGAAAUAAGAAAUAACGGAGAUUUGGAAUGACACUUCUUUUUGGGAUGGUGAUAAUGGUCUACAGUUGAUUAUAGUGAUGUUUGCAUUAUUGUGUAAACAUACUGAAAAAACAACAGUCUACACUUUAAUUUUAUACAAUGAAUCCUCAAUAUAAAUCCUAUCCUGGGAAAGCUCUUAAAAAAAUAAAAAAGCAAAUACAUAAAAUCUCUGUCUGCUUACUAUCAGGAAAAGACAGCACAUGCCCUAUGGAGAGAAAUUACUCAACAUAUUAGCAGCACAACAGCACAAAGGAGAAAGUUUUCUUCUAUCAUUUCUCCCCAGCAAAGCUCUAGUGUUCUUCUAGAUCCAGGUGGUCCCUCUCUGGCCAAU